AUGAACGCUGGCGGCGUGCUUAACACAUGCAAGUCGAACGAUGAAGCCCAGCUUGCUGGGUGGAUUAGUGGCGAACGGGUGAGUAACACGUGAGUAACCUGCCCUUAACUCUGGGAUAAGCCUGGGAAACUGGGUCUAAUACCGGAUAGGAGCGCCUACCGCAUGGUGGGGGUUGGAAAGAUUUAUCGGUUUUGGAUGGACUCGCGGCCUAUCAGCUUGUUGGUGAGGUAAUGGCUCACCAAGGCGACGACGGGUAGCCGGCCUGAGAGGGUGACCGGCCACACUGGGACUGAGACACGGCCCAGACUCCUACGGGAGGCAGCAGUGGGGAAUAUUGCACAAUGGGCGAAAGCCUGAUGCAGCGACGCCGCGUGAGGGAUGACGGCCUUCGGGUUGUAAACCUCUUUCAGUAGGGAAGAAGCGAAAGUGACGGUACCUGCAGAAGAAGCACCGGCUAACUACGUG
rnacentral:rRNA from 1 species